UGUUAUUUACUUCUACUAAUAUAAUAUUAUUGUUAAUGUUGAAAUCUUUUUCUUUGAAUGAGGGGAGAUGGAGUGGCAUGUAUGAUUCAAAUACGCUGGACAACAAAGUUAGGCUUCUUUUUCAGUGCCUGGUCUGCUAUAUAAUUUGGUUCUUGUCUUCGUCUCUUGAAACUCCUCAAAGGCUUCACACAAGUCUUCGAUUCGCUAUGGCGGUUCCUGGGUCUUUCAUUGUACCAAAACAUCUUUCUGUCCAAAGAUUAAAUAUCCAGGACCAAGUUAUAGUACAAGAAAACUUUUUUAUUUGAGAGCUUCCCAUGGUAGCUUAUCAUCAGAUGGUGGUGUGGAAAAGAAGUUGAUCAGAAAAGAAAAGGAUGGAUGGAAGAUCGAUUAUUCCGGGGAAAAACCGGCGAUGCCAUUGCUUGAUUCUGUCAACUACGCCGUUCACAUGACGAAUCUAUGCACACAGGGUCUUGAACAACUAGCAGCAGAGCUUAGAGCCGAUAUAGUACGUACACACAGUAUCGAAGACAGGUGGGCAUCUCAGUUCCAGCUUAGGAGUUGGGUGAAUCUGUUUUUUUUUUUUUUUUUUCCUUUUAAGAUGUGCACGACCUAAAAGGAAAAAAUGAUUUCUCCCUUUUAGGCCAUGCAAAACAUUUCGCACGUGAGUCAAAUGUCUUAAACGUUUUGCACUUUUUUUUGGCAAACCGUUUCACACAAUUUUUUUCGUUUCACACAAUUUUUUUUUCAAAAAAAAUGUUUUGCACAAUAGUUAAAAU